rnacentral:rRNA from 1 species
GACGAACGCUGGCGGCGUGCUUAACACAUGCAAGUCGAACGGAAAGGCCCUGCUUUUGUGGGGUGCUCGAGUGGCGAACGGGUGAGUAACACGUGAGUAACCUGCCCUUGACUUUGGGAUAACUUCAGGAAACUGGGGCUAAUACCGGAUAGGGGCUCCUGCUGCAUGGUGGGGGUUGGAAAGUUUCGGCGGUUGGGGAUGGACUCGCGGCUUAUCAGCUUGUUGGAGGGGUAGUGGCUUACCAAGGCUUUGACGGGUAGCCGGCCUGAGAGGGUGACCGGCCACAUUGGGACUGAGAUACGGCCCAGACUCCUACGGGAGGCAGCAGUGGGGAAUAUUGCACAAUGGGCGGAAGCCUGAUGCAGCAACGCCGCGUGCGGGAUGACGGCCUUCGGGUUGUAAACCGCUUUCGCCUGUGACGAAGCGUGAGUGACGGUAAUGGGUAAAGAAGCACCGGCUAACUACGUG